UUUGCAUAUCCAAUAGCGGAGGAAAAGAAACCAACAGGGAUUGCCUCAGUAGCGGCGAGUGAAGCGGCAAGAGCUCAGAUUUGAAAUCGUGCUUUGCGGCACGAGUUGUAGAUUGCAGGUUGGAGUCUGUGUGGAAGGCGGUGUCCAAGUCCCUUGGAACAGGGCGCCCAGGAGGGUGAGAGCCCCGUGGGAUGCCGGCGGAAGCAGUGAGGCCCUUCUGACGAGUCGAGUUGUUUGGGAAUGCAGCUCCAAGCGGGUGGUAAAUUCCAUCUAAGGCUAAAUACUGGCGAGAGACCGAUAGCGAACAAGUACUGUGAAGGAAAGAUGAAAAGCACUUUGAAAAGAGAGUGAAACAGCACGUGAAAUUGUUGAAAGGGAAGGGUAUUGCGCCCGACAUGGGGAUUGCGCACCGCUGCCUCUCGUGGGCGGCGCUCUGGGCUUUCCCUGGGCCAGCAUCGGUUCUUGCUGCAGGAGAAGGGGUUCUGGAACGUGGCUCUUCGGAGUGUUAUAGCCAGGGCCAGAUGCUGCGUGCGGGGACCGAGGACUGCGGCCGUGUAGGUCACGGAUGUAUGAUCGACCCGCA
rnacentral:rRNA from 1 species